rnacentral:lncRNA from 1 species
GAGCACCCUCCUGAGGCCGCAGAACCCAGCACGCCUCGGCGGGGGAGGGAGGAGGGGCCGAGGGGGCGGGCCCAGGCCAGUUCCCAGUUACAAAUACAGCAGCUCCCGGGAGGCCGAGGAGGAGAGUUUCGCCCCCAAACACGUAGAUCACUCACCCGAGGCGCCUUGUUUUCCACUCUUGGGUCCUGCAGUUUCCCCAGGAUCCCGUGACGCACUGGCCCAGUUGGCCAGCGUGGUGGCGGGGUGUGCCCGAGAGUCUUGAGGAGACCCCCCUCCUCCCAUGUGGCUUAGUCUGGCCUGGCCAAAAUCCACCAGAAGAGAGCCCAGAGGCUGUCUCAACCCUUCCGAUGGGAGCAAGGCGCAGGAUCGUCGGAGGAUCGCCCUCCUCCUGGAAAGUUAAGAAGAUGGGGAGAUGAAGGUACUCAGGAGGUCGCACAUAUUCGAUAUCAGGCUUGAGCUGAGUCACCUGACUGUACACAGAACAUAUAUGCAGCUGUACCCGAAUACGUACCCGAGAAUUAGAGGAACACUAACAGCAGGAUCGGAAGAAAAAAAGAAGUGUUCGCAGACAGAAUUAUUCCAAUGCACGGGUGCACAUCAAGUUGUCCAGAUGCAGACAAAAGCUGUGGUGCCCACAAGGAAUGACCCCAGCCACAGGCAGAUGUGCAGGAAGCCACACACAGGGAGAGCCUGAAGGAGGAUGCAGGACUCGGGGCCAAGGGCUUCCUGCUAGAGGGACGUUGGCUUCCAAGGGUGAAACUGUUGAGCCAACCAGUUAAAGGUUUCAGGUCAAGUCCUGGAGACUAGAAAGAGCACACCGUCCAUCCACCGCUGAUCCUUUUGCCUUCCACUAAGCUGGGCUUUAGACACUCAGAAGAGGGCAACCCAGGAAAGAAUCAUUUUGAUUCGGGUUAUUUAUUUGUUACUAUUGUUGGUUAAGGAGAUUGUGUUCUGAAGAAGGAUGGGUGGGGAGCAUAGAUGGAUGCCCUAACUCAAUGCUGGGAGAUUCCUAAUUCUUAAUGGGAACAUUCGGCUCCAACGAGGGUUCAAGAAGCCAGGGGCCCUUAUUUUGCCUCUUUCUCACCUUUCAUUGCUAAAUGCAGUCCUUAAAAAGAACCUUCGCCUAGCUCCACGCCCUCCUGUCCUCACUUCCAUCCCAAUCCCCUUUAUAUCAAAUAUGUCCACAAAAGAACACUCCCAAGCAAACUGAACUAUUUUAUUACACUAAUUUUCUUUGUGGGAUAUUGGGGUAUUCUCACCCCCUCCUACCCAUUUCCAAACAGAAGCCACCAUCCUGAGAGUUUCAAAGAGUGGCUGUUCCAAAAGGCCUUAGCAAGUGCACAGGCUUGAUGCUGCCUUCAGCUCCUUUUGCCUUCCAGACAGUAGCCACCACGAGUUUCCCCGCAGAAGAGGCAGGC